rnacentral:rRNA from 1 species
UACGUAGGGGGCUAGCGUUGUCCGGAAUUAUUGGGCGUAAAGAGCUCGUAGGCGGCUUGUUGCGUCGGUUGUGAAAGCCCGGGGCUUAACCCCGGGUCUGCAGUCGAUACGGGCAGGCUAGAGUGUGGUAGGGGAGAUCGGAAUUCCUGGUGUAGCGGUGUAAUGCGCAGAUAUCAGGAGGAACACCGGUGGCGAAGGCGGAUCUCUGGGCCAUUACUGACGCUGAGGAGCGAAAGCGUGGGGAGCGAACAGG